UCCCUGGCAGUCCAGUGGUUAAGACUCUGCACUUCCAAUGCAGGGGUGCAGGUUCAAUUUCUGGUCAAGGAA
rnacentral:tRNA from 1 species